rnacentral:tRNA from 1 species
ACAAGUAAAGCCAAACUAUAGAGGCGGGUUUCUGUUACAGACCAAAUUAAGCAAUAUUUUACUUUUC